AUCUUUCCCGCAUCCAGCACCACCCGCUAUGGAUACCCUCCUCCACCCUCCUCCGCAAACUAGUUCCUCCUCCACUUCCAUGGCCAAACGCCCUUGUUCCUCUUCUUCUCAAAACCCUAGGCUUCCUUUUCACUUCUCUCAAAUGGAUCAUCUCCUCCACUCUUUCCUUUCCUUCCCCGAUUCCUCCCUUCCUAUUUCUCUCGACCUUUCCUUCGACCGCCUCCUCGAUUGCUCCCCUUCCGACGCCGAUCAAGCUCUUCUAAUCGAUCGCGCUCACAACCUAGGUUGCCUCCUCCUCCGUGCCGCGAAUCGUUCUGCUCGGAAACGUGCUUCGCUUCAUAACUCCGUCGCUUGGGUCCUCCCUCCUGAUCUUACCAUCAAGGUGUUUUCGAUGCUUGAUUCGCAGAGUCUUUGCUACGCCGCGGCAACGUGUUCGAUGUUUCACAAGUGUGCCAUGGAUCCUUUCUGCUAUGCCAAUAUUGAUCUAACUACUGUCGUGCCCAAGGUUAAUAAUGCCGUUGUUUCCACCAUGAUCCAACGAGCUGGAAAAUCACUCCGAUCUCUUAAGCUCGGUAUAGUACCUGGAACAACUGGGUCUCCUGGUUCCAGUCAACCGUUGGUUUAUACCAUCAGGAACUCUGUAGAUGUAUCCAACUUUUCAUGGAAUGAUAAAAGGAUCAGGCAAGGGAAGGAAUCAUCCAUUCUUACAAGGACAUGCUUGUAUCCAUUAAGUGGGGACAAUGGAGCCACUGGGACUCUUUUGAGGAGGUUGCAUCUUUACAAUAUCGAAAGGAUGGAUAAUGCAUCACUUUGUGUGGCAUUAGCAGCAUGCCCUUCUUUACUUGAUUUGGAAAUUGUUGGCCUCAGUCAUGUUGAGCUGAGGCAAACCUUGAUGUCAGUGAGCUCAAAUUGUCACUUCAUAGAGCGUUUAUUCUUUGAGUCUUCCAAAACAGGAGGUGAUGAAAGCUUGAAAUCGCCAACAUGUUUUGAGCUGGUGAACAACUGUCCUAAUCUUUCUUCUUUGUCGCUGAGAGGCUUUAAACUGCAUGAUUGUAAAGUACGCAUACUUGUUAAGGGAUUCCGUAAACUUAAAUAUGUUGAUUUUUCAACGUCAUACUCAAUCACUGGAACCUUUUUGAGGAAUUUGGGCAAUGGCAGUGGUGGAGAUCUACUAGAGGUUUUAAUAUUGAGGGACUGCAUGCAUCUAAGAGAGAUGGAAGUUGCUCGGUUCUUGACAGCUGUUUUUGAAGGAGAUUUUAAGUUUCUUAAACAUCUUGACAUAUCUAAUAGGGAAGGUUUAGCUUCUGAAGGUGACUGGUAUCAGAGAUCUUACAACUCCAGCUUUAUUCCUUUGAAGCAAGUUUCGGAAGUAAGACCUGAUGUUUGUUUGCUGGCUGAGUUUCCAUCAGAAGGAUGCUUCCUCGACAUAGACCACAUGAUUGAUAGUGAUAUUAACAGUGAGCUCAGCCUGCCAUUCCAGCAGAGUGAUCAUACUUAUGAUGGUACAAUGCUCACGAGUUCAUUAGAUAGCAAUUAUAAUAGUGAUCAGGGUAGCGGUAAUGAGGAGUAUCAAGAUUCAGGUUUUGUAAUUUAUGAGGAAAGCUCAGAUGAGGUGGAUUUCCUGGUCUAGAAAAGAUACCAGUAUAGCCGAGUUUUGAAACUCUCAGCCACUAAAUGCACUGAUAACUGGAAAGGAGGCUUUUUUUUUUCAUAACCGAAGAAAGGUGGAUGGGUCCAAUAGUGAAUGGCAGUGUAGUAUAGUUUCUUCUAUCAUUCUCUUAUGAUAAUUCAAAGCUCUGAGGCUGUGAUAUCCGACUACGUCGGGGGUGUUCUUUUGCUCCACUCAUUUUUUGAUCCCCGUUACUGUAGAAGCUAUGUGUAGCUCAUGAAAGGGGCAACCAAUGCUUGGAGAGUUGUUGCUAAGUGUAAUUUGUAGUGAGAUGGCCUUUGCUGAAAUAUUUUAUUUUUGAUCGCCAGCGGCAAUUGUAACCCUUAGAAUCUGCAGGUGAAAUUGAGUUGGAGAAAACAAAGCAGUAAAAUUUACAAUGCCAAGGGCCUUUCAUUCAA